rnacentral:rRNA from 1 species
GUACGAUCGCAAGAUUAAAACUCAAAGGAAUUGACGGGGGCCCCGCACAAGCAGCGGAGCAUGCGGCUUAAUUCGACGCAACGCGAAGAACCUUACCAAGGCUUGACAUAUACAGGAAUAUGGCAGAGAUGUCAUAGCCGCAAGGUCUGUAUACAGGUGGUGCAUGGUUGUCGUCAGCUCGUGUCGUGAGAUGUUGGGUUAAGUCCCGCAACGAGCGCAACCCUCGUUCUGUGUUGCCAGCAUUUAGUUGGGGACUCACAGGAGACUGCCGGGGUUAACUCGGAGGAAGGUGGGGAUGACGUCAAAUCAUCAUGCCCCUUAUGUCUUGGGCUGCACGCAUGCUACAAUGGCUGGUACAAACGGCUGCGAUACCGCAAGGUGGAGCGAAUCCGAGAAAGCCAGUCUCAGUUCGGAUUGGGGUCUGCAACUCGACCCCAUGAAGUCGGAGUUGCUAGUAAUCGUAGAUCAGCAACGCUACGGUGAAUACGUUCCCGGGGCUUGUACACACCGCCCGUCACAUCACGAAAGUCGGUAACACCCAAAGUCAGUGGCCCAACCGCAAGGAGGGAGCUGCCAAAGGUGGGAUCGGUGAUUGGGAUG